CACACUUAAUCCUACAGGACCUUCCACCCUAGCCUGGAACAGGACUCUCAGCGAAGGGCUGAAUCCUGGUGGCAACUUCACUUUCUCAAAGAGUUCACGUCUGAGGAUUCCACACUGUAACCCGGAAAUGAAAAGGAGCCCUGUGUCAAGAACCUGGGAGCAAUUUUCCUACUUCCAAGGAUGGACUUAAUCCCCAGAGACCCUAAGGGUCGGUGUGCCCUGCAGGAUAUUGGGGUGGCUCUCCUGUUUAUAUACCUGUUUAUGAUCUAACUUGUCCCUGUCCCUACUCCCCAACCAGAGUGAACUUAAAGCCUGGACUACAGCUUCCCUCAGUCUAUCCUGAAGAAGGAGUUGGGGGAGGGUAGGAAGAUGGGGCCAGCGGGACAUUCCCAGGGAGGAUCUCUAUUUCGAGCAAAAUACCGUGAUAAGCCUUCCUCAGUUGCAGAACUCUGGACUCCAAGCGUGAAGGGCACUAAGUCAGGGCUCUCACAAGACUGCUGCUUGGGGACCAUGCUGACCUAGCAGGGGGCUCCCCAAUGUUCCCACCUGAGGUAGCCUCCAUCGAAAGUGACCAGCAGCCCUUCCUGCCAGUAGAUGGUCUGAUUUCUUCGGACUCUGAAUGUGCUGCAGCGGUUUCUCUGGUUCCCUGUAAAACUGUAAAUGGUGACUUUCCGGUUCCUGCUUUUCGUAUUCUUCUUGUUUUCAAAAAGCUGAAAGACGGGAGAGAAAGGACCCUGUUUAAGAAUUCUGGACUCCUCGCUGGCCUUGUGAGGAACUCUGAGCAAGCCGGCCUGGCCCCAUCUUGAUAAAUCGCUACAUCUUUCCCA